AUAUCACUGAGGGCGCGUGGGAGAGUGAAGAGAGAGAUGAGUAGGGAGGUGCCGAGGAGAGAGAGUCCUUGGGGCGUAUCCGGAGGCCCCCACCGGGAGCCCAAAGCACACAGAUGCAACGAUCGAGCUGAAGACGUCAUUCAUGCGUGUUUUGAGGGGAAUCCAUUCAAGACAGUUCCAGGGCCUAUUAAGCUCUUUUGGCGAUGUAUGCGCUCAAAACCGGGGGAAGAACCAACUGAGCCAUUCUACUAUUUGCAGCUUGAUCCCCCUAAGAGAGAAGAGCCAAAGCUUGAGUGAAGGAGAUUGGCAAUUGCGCUUGGUACUAGAAACAAAAAGGCUUGGGGGCUUCUUUCAAAUUUCAAUUGUAUAAGGGCGUAAAAUUGGCAUUUUGAAUGUCAGCUCUGUAGUGUUAGGGCAUGGCAAACCAUACCCUGUUCAUUGUAAUAGGUAUAUUCAAUGACGCAUAUGUUCUAUUCAAUGACGCGUAUGUUCUUUGUGCGGCUUGCAAGCAGACACUAUCCUUUUUGCAUUGUUUAAUGGUUGCAUACAGGGAGGAGCUUGAUUGUACUCACUUAAAGUUGUGAAGAUGGGUGAUGCCAUUUCAAAAGCCUCUAAUUACCUUAAAUAAUUUAUCAUUAAUCUUUUGCAGUUUGGGGUUGAGUAAGUCUUUAAAGUUUCCUUGUUAAUAUGAAUGAUUAUUGCCCUUUGUUUGUUACUUGCAUUUCUAUGCUUUUUAGAAUUGCUUAGUUGCGAUUGCAUUAACUUUAAGUAUGAAGAAAAAGGAAUGAGGCUUAACAUUCUCACUACCUCAUGUUCCUCAUAUUUCAUAGGAAUUGAUGACAAGCUGGUGCUUGCUUUAAACAAAUAUAUGAUAGCAUACUUGAAAAUACAAACUGGAAAUGAGUUUACAAGAA